UACGUAGGGAGCAAGCGUUGUCCGGAAUCAUUGGGCGUAAAGCGCGCGUAGGUGGCCACAUAAGUCCGUUGUGAAAGUCAAAGGCUCAACCUUUGAAAGCCGAUGGAUAUUGUGUGGCUAGAGUACGGAAGAGGCGAGUGAAUUCCUGGUGUAGCGGUGGAAUGCGCAGAUAUCAGGAGGAACACCAAUAGCGAAGGCGGCUCUGUGG
rnacentral:rRNA from 1 species